CCUACGGGAGGCAGUAGUAGGGAAUAUUGCUCAAUGGGGGAAACCCUGAAGCAGCAACGCAGCGUGAAGGAUGAAGGUUUUCGGAUUGUAAACUUCUUUUGUUAGAGAAGAUAAUGUCGGUAUCUAACGUAUAAGCACCGGCUAACUCCGUGCCAGCAGCCGCGGUAAUACGGAGGGUGCAAGCGUUACUCGGAAUCACUGGGCGUAAAGAGCGCGUAGGCGGGAUAGCAAGUCAGAUGUGAAAUCCUAUGGCUUAACCAUAGAACUGCAUUUGAAACUGUGAUUCUAGAGUACGGGAGAGGUAGGUGGAAUUCUUGGUGUAGCGGUAAAAUCCGUAGAGAUCAAGAGGAAUACUCAUUGCGAAGGCGACCUGCUAGAACGUAACUGACGCUGAUGCGCGAAAGCGUGGGGAGCAAACAGGAUUAGAUACCCCAGUAGUC
rnacentral:rRNA from 1 species